GUCCCAGUAGCUUAGACCACUAAAGCACCGGUCUUGUAAACCGAAGCCGAGACUCAUCCUCCUGAGAC
rnacentral:tRNA from 1 species